rnacentral:tRNA from 1 species
GCAUUGGUGGUUCAGUGGUAGAAUUCUAGCUUGCCAUGUUGGAGGCCUGGGUUCGAUUCCCAGCCAAUGCA